CAGGCCUCACACAUGCAAGUCGAACGACGUAUGGUCAGUUUGCGGUGGUGCUUGCAUCACCAAUUACCGAUCACACCGAGUGGCGGACCGGUGAGUAACACGUGGGUAACCUGCCCUUCAGCAGGGGAUAACAUUUGGAAACAGAUGCUAAUACCGUAUAACCACGGAGACCGCAUGGUCUCCGGGUAAAAGAUGGCGCAAGCUAUCACUGAAGGAUGGACCCGCGGCGUAUUAGCCAGUUGGUGGGGUAACGGCCUACCAAAGCGAUGAUACGUAGCCGACCUGAGAGGGUAAUCGGCCACAUUGGGACUGAGACACGGCCCAAACUCCUACGGGAGGCAGCAGUAGGGAAUCUUCCACAAUGGACGCAAGUCUGAUGGAGCAACGCCGCGUGAGUGGAGAAGGCUUUCGGGUCGUAAAACUCUGUUAUUGAAGAAGAACGUGUGUGACAGUAACUGGUCAUGCAGUGACGGUAUUCAA
rnacentral:rRNA from 1 species